GUAUACAGACUGACGCCUGCCCGGUGCCGGUAAGUUAAGGGAGAGGGUUAGCCGCAAGGUGAAGCUCGCAACCGAAGCUCCGGUAAACGGCGGCCGUAACUAUAACGGUCCUAAGGUAGCGAAGUUCCUUGUCGGGUAAGUUCCGACGCGCAUGAAAGGUACAACGACUUGAGCGCUGUCUUGACAGGGGGCUCGGUGAACUCGAAGCACGGGUGAAGAUUCCCGUGACCCGCGGUGGGACAGAAAGACCCCGUGGAGCUUUACUGUAGCUUGGUGUUGGGUCUCGGCAUCUGUUGUAGAGGAUAGGUGGGAGGCUGUGAAACCUGGGCGCUAGUCCAGGCGGAGCCAACCUUGGAAUACCACCCUGCAGCUGUUGAGGCCCUAACCGAUGGCCGUUAGCAGCGGCUUCGGGACCGCGCUAGGUGGGCAGUUUUGCUGGGGCGGCAGCCUCCCAAAGAGUAACGGAGGCGCACAAAGGUCCCCUCAGGCUGGUUAGCGAUCAGCCGUUGAGUGCAAGGGCAGAAGGGGGCUUAACUGCGAGGCCAACAAGCCGAGCAGAGGCGAAAGCCGGUCCUAGUGACCCACUGGCUUCCAAGUGGGAGGGCCAGUGAUCAUCGGACAAAAGUUACCCCGGGGAUAACAGGCUAGUACCGCCCGAGAGUUCACAUCGACGGCGGUGUUCGGCACCUCGAUGUCGGCUCACCCCAUCCUGGGGCUGUAUCAGGUCCCAAGGGUCGGUCUGUUCGCCCGUUAAAGGGGUUCAUGAGCUGGGUUCAAACCGUCGUGAGACAGGUUGGUCCCUAUCUACCGUGGGCGUAGGAGGCUUGAGAGGGUCCGCUCUCAGUACGAGAGGACCGGAGCGGCUGGGCCGCUGGCGAACCAGUUGUCCCGCCCGGGGCAUCGCUGGGUAACUAAGCCCGGACCGGAUAAGAGCUGAAGGCAUCUAAGCUCGAAGCUGACCUCAAGAUGAGGCCUCCCCAUGUAAGGGCCCUUCGAGACUAGGAGGUUGAUAGGCCGCAGGUGAAAGCCCGGUAACGGGUGGAGCCGAGCGGUACUAAUAGCCCGAUUGUCUUAC
rnacentral:rRNA from 1 species